rnacentral:misc_RNA from 1 species
AAGUCGUAACAAGGUAACCGUAGGUGAACCUGCGGUUGGAUCAUUAAAAAAUUCAACUAAGAGUAGGGUCUCUAACGAGUCCUGCUUCUUAAACACUUUGUGAACCGUUAAUUGUCUCUGGUGGGUUAAAAGAUUGCUUUUGCAAUUGGUUAGCCUCGGUUGACUACCCACCGCCUUUAACUUUUAAUCUUUAAUUGGACUUUUUGUUUAAAUUGAAAUUUAAAACAACUUUUGGCAACGGAUCUCUUGGUUCUC